GCGCCUGUAGCUCAGUCGGAUAGAGCAACUGCCUUCUAAGCAGUGGGCCGGGGGUUCGAAUCCCUCCAGGCGCGCCA
rnacentral:tRNA from 1 species